rnacentral:misc_RNA from 1 species
AAAAGAAUAGAAAGAAGAAUCGGGAAAGAGAAAGAAAAGGGAAACAAAAGGAAAGAAAGAAGAAAGAAAAAAAGGAGAAGAAGAAGGGAAGAAAGAGAAGAAAGAAUGGCUCGAUUUUUAAGGAAAGAAAGAGAAGAAAGAAUAGCUCGAUUUUUUAAGUUUUCCAGCAAGCAAGGACGCUGGCAAGGGAAAGAGAGGGAGAAUGGUUUGAAAUACAAGAAAUAGAAAGGAAAGAGAGGCGGUAGAUGUUUACUAGUUCAGGUGAGUUUAGUAAUUUUUCACCAUUCAUUUUUGGAUAUAUUUAAGUUCUAUAUGUCUAGAAUUAAUGGUUAAAAUUUGGUAGUUUUUCAACAGUUGAUUUGGAGAAAUAAAUUUUUGAAGCUAUGCUAUCUGAAUUUUGGAAUUCUAGAUUUAGGCUGAUGAAAUUUGAGGAAAUUAAAUAGUUAGAGUGCUCACAAAAUUAUGAAAUUUGCUAAAGAUAGUCUUUAGGAUGUUGGAGAUUUUGUGUUAAAAUUUAGUAAAUUUUGGACUUGUGGUUUGUGAGAUAUAAAUUGUUUUGUAUGAGUUGUCUAAGUAAGAAUCAUUUCUAAAAAUUCAGAAUUUGAUGGGUUGAAUAAAUAUUUUGAUAUCUCAUGAUGUAG